GAUGAACGCUAGCUACAGGCUUAACACAUGCAAGUCGAGGGGCAGCAUGAACAUAGCUUGCUAUGUUUGAUGGCGACCGGCGCACGGGUGCGUAACACGUAUCCAAUCUACCCAUGGCUCGGGGAUAGCCUUUCGAAAGAAAGAUAAAUACCCGAUGGUCUCGGUUUAAGGCAUCUUAGACUGAGUAAAGAUUCAUCGGCGAUGGAUGAGGAUGCGUCUGAUUAGGUAGAUGGCGGGGUAACGGCCCACCAUGCCUACGAUCAGUAGGGGUUCUGAAAGGAAGGACCCCCACAUUGGAAAUGAGACACCGUACAAACUCCGACGGGAGGCAGCAGUGAGGAAUAUUGGUCAAUGGACGAGAGUCUGAACCAGCCAAGUAGCGUGAAGGAUGACUGCCCUCUGGGUUGUAAACUUCUUUUGUUUGGGAAUAAAGUUCGGGACGUGUCCCGUUUUGUAUGUACCAUUCGAAUAAGCAUCGGCUAAUUCCGUGCCAGCAGCCGCCGUAAUAC
rnacentral:rRNA from 1 species